UUUGACAACCUCCUCGGCAGUGCAUUGAUCCGACAAGGAAGUGAAUCCACAAAUGUCGGCGAACAGGAUGCUGGAAAACGAUUACCAAGAUGUAUUCUUCUCGGUUAGGUUCCGGUAAACAAAGGAUCUUGAAGCUAUUCCACUGGUUUCAAUAAUAUAUUUGAGAGUGUAUCUCUAGAGAGGAAUAUUUCGAUUUCAACAUUGUAUUUCAUUAACAUACAGAGCACAAGCCUUCCGACAAGCUGAUCUGUCGGUAUUAACAGAUACAUACCGUUUUGAAUUCUCUUUAGUAUUUGUAACCAGCUGGUUAAUUAACCAUGUUGUUAUGUCGGAAACUUGCGGUGAAUCUAAUAAAUCCGUAUACUCAAGACACCAUUCAUCUCGUUUGAAUAUUAAAGAAUUUCUAACUUGCUUGAAUUUUAA